rfam:Nomascus leucogenys chromosome 23, whole genome shotgun sequence.
AUGCUUUUGUAGUUCUAAAUGUAAUAAUUGGCUUUUCAUGCUCAUGUGUGAGAUGUACCUUCCUCAAACUUUGUUACCAUGUUGGAACAUUACCUGCCUGAUG